AGAUUUUGGUGUUUAAGGAAUCACACCAGAAUUGGCCCCGUGCCUCGGGUGUGGAGGCGGCACACGCAGGUUAGAUGCUCACCGGGAGCUGGACACGCCCCCAGGCUUACAAAGUCACAGGAGGGGUGGAUGGCCCAAGGGCAGCUGCCCCUCCCGGGGCCCCACGCAUGAGCUAUAAUUGAGAGCAAGGGGAGCCACUGCACCAGCUGCUGGGCUGAGGGCCAGGCCUGGCUGACAAGUUCAGGGAGAACAGCUGGAACCGGGCAGGAGGUCCCAGAAGAACACAGCUGAGGGCCUUAGUCCUCUCAAUAGGGUUGCCAGAUUUGGCAAAUAAAAAUUCAGAAUGCUC